rnacentral:rRNA from 1 species
AGUGAACGCUGGCGGUAGGCCUAACACAUGCAAGUCGAACGGCAGCACAGUAAGAGCUUGCUCUUACGGGUGGCGAGUGGCGGACGGGUGAGGAAUACAUCGGAAUCUACUUUUUCGUGGGGGAUAACGUAGGGAAACUUACGCUAAUACCGCAUACGACCUACGGGUGAAAGCAGGGGAUCUUCGGACCUUGCGCGAUUGAAUGAGCCGAUGUCGGAUUAGCUAGUUGGCGGGGUAAAGGCCCACCAAGGCGACGAUCCGUAGCUGGUCUGAGAGGAUGAUCAGCCACACUGGAAGUGAGACACGGUCCAGACUCCUACGGGAGGCAGCAGUGGGGAAUAUUGGACAAUGGGCGCAAGCCUGAUCCAGCCAUACCGCGUGGGUGAAGAAGGCCUUCGGGUUGUAAAGCCAUUUUGUUGGGAAAGAAAAGCAGCAGGUUAAUACCCCGCUGUUCUGACGGUACCCAAAGAAUAAGCACCGGCUAACUUCGUG